rnacentral:rRNA from 1 species
GACGAACGCUGGCGGCGUGCUUAACACAUGCAAGUCGAACGGAAAGGCCCUGCUUUUGUGGGGUGCUCGAGUGGCGAACGGGUGAGUAACACGUGAGUAACCUGCCCUUGACUUUGGGAUAACUUCAGGAAACUGGGGCUAAUACCGGAUAGGAGCUCCUGCUGCAUGGUGGGGGUUGGAAAGUUUCGGCGGUUGGGGAUGGACUCGCGGCUUAUCAGCUUGUUGGUGGGGUAGUGGCUUACCAAGGCUUUGACGGGUAGCCGGCCUGAGAGGGUGACCGGCGAUGUGCGUGCUGGCAACGGUCCCGGACGACUGGGGCAGGCAGCAGGGGGGAAUUCAGGACGACGGGAGGCAGUCGUGUGCAGCAGCGCGGGGUGGGGGGUUAGGGUCUGCGGGUAGGCACCAGCUUUCGCUGGGGGCGAGGGGUCGGUGACGUGAGGGGAAAACGAAGCCCCGGACAACGCGGCGCCUGCAGCGGUGUAAACGAACGAACAGCCCGUGGCUCCCC